CCCUGCAAUUGCUUUCUGGGACAAGAGCAGAAACCCCAAGGCACAAUAAGCCGUGACAACAUAGUCUGAGUAGAGAAGGCUGGAAAGCCACCACAAGAGUUGUAAACAUUUUCAGGAUAGAGCAGCCACUGGGAUGAAACAGGCUUUGGUUGUGCAUGUGGGAAGAAAGGCAGGAUCUGGACUUCCAUGGAGAGAGCCAUGAGGGGUGCUCAUUAAGAAACAAAGUAAGGGACACUAGAAGGGGGAUGAGAAUGCAAGCCCAAGGAAAGAAGAAGUUCAGAAGUUUGCUAGGGAAAAUCCAGGAGAGAGCCCUGAGUGUCCUGGCCCUGAAAGAAGUGUUAACCUAGAGCAGUUAUAGUGAAGAGGGGCUGCUCAGAAAAACAGUGGCAGGGAGUUGGACUGAGCACACUGUGGCUGCUGUUCAUAGAGUCCUGGGCUGGAAACUGAUGUAGUAAGAGGGCCAGGUUCGCCUAACAGCUAUGGAGGUGUGAGGCUGGAGAAAGUGACAAGGACAGUGGAGAACCCUGAGGAAAGGGAGGUGGGGCACUGUGGACAAGAGUUGGGCCAAAGGCCAGAUAUAAGGUCUUAGAUAUUGCUGUGUUGGACUUUGUUUACCCCAGAAGGGGUGGACUAAAUCAUGACCUGACCAGAGGGCUGAGUUGCAGAAAGAGGCAGAGGACCAGGGAGGAAGAGAGCUGUUAUGCUAUGCCUGGCUACAAGGAGACACUCUAGUGGCUCAACCAAGGAAAGACAAGGCAUCUCAGCACGUCUCUGCCUACUCUUGCCAGUACUCACUAGUGAACCAGCAGUGCCUUUUUUGUGUUCUGAACUAUGAUAUGGCGAUAUGGACUGAAGGUUAUUGAUGAUGGAUUCAACAUCAUUAGCCUGGAUGGCUGAACUUUAUAUGUUUGAGAUUAUCACACCCAAGAAAUUGUACUGGAUUUGAAUGUCAUGUAUGGGGGAUUUAAAAGUUCACAAACCAGUCAGGACUCUGUUCGGAAAGUAGAUCAUAAAGGCUUGGUAAUCCCCUCUGUUUCAACCUCUAGCAUCUGGCUCAGAUAUGUGACACAUAAUGGAAAUGGAAUAAUGAACACAGAUUUUAAAAUAGAUUUAAGAACUUUUUUCCACUUCAAGCUCUUUUCCUUUUUGGACUGUUUCAGGAUUAGCACAGAUUCUAUUGUUAAUAGACACUAAUAAUAAACUCAGUAAUAGGACCUGGAAGCCUUAUUGCAUAGCAGAUGCUAGGAACUCAUUAUCGGACCCUCCAAAAUGACUCUCAAAUCCAUAUUUUCAUUUCUGUUUCAGCUGUUUUGAAGAUGACCUGGGAUUAACAGAAAUGAAUAUGGUAUUCUAAGGAAGAGCAGAGCAUUGAUCUGCAUAAAAGUGAUGGCAUUAUAUUUUCUCUUCCAUAUGUGUGCAUCCUAACAUUUACUUUGCUUUUGGGAUGGCCGCUACAUGCUGAGCUGUCCCCAGGUCUUUCAUGAGAGUUUGCAAUUAAUUUAGAACCCAACAAAAUGUAUAUGUAAUUCAAAUUAUUUCACCCAAUGCAUGAUAAAUUCACUGUUAAGAAAAGAAA